rnacentral:rRNA from 1 species
UACGUAGGGUGCGAGCGUUGUCCGGAAUUAUUGGGCGUAAAGAGCUCGUAGGCGGUUUGUCGCGUCGGCUGUGAAAGCUCGGGGCUUAACUCCGGGUCUGCAUUCGAUACGGGCAGGCUAGAGUUCGGUAGGGGAGAUCGGAAUUCCUGGUGUAGCGGUGAAAUGCGCAGAUAUCAGGAGGAACACCGGUGGCGAAGGCGGAUCUCUGGGCCGAUACUGACGCUGAGGAGCGAAAGCGUGGGGAGCGAACAGG